AAUAGCACUCAUUUACCUUAUUUUUGAUUUUUAAGAAUUAAUAAAUUAAAAUAGAAAAUAAACAUUAAACACAUUCGACGGAGAAGCUUACGAUUGUUGUUUCCUCUGAAGCUAUCAAUCUCCAAUCUUCAAUUCCGGUAAAGCUUCCAAUCUCCGAUCUUUAAUUCCGUUGAAGCUUCCGAUCUUAGAGCUUCAAUCAGAGAGUUAAUUUCUGGGAUUCACGGCGAAAUCAUGGGUACUUCAUCCAUCAGUCGGAACUUCUUCUAUCAGUGCUGUACAUGGAAUAGAGCAGGAUGCUCAUUUGUAUAUGUUUUAGGAAGGGCACAUACAUAUUUAGGAUGACUUUCCUAAAACAUAUUCAGGAUGCUCAUUUGUAAGAUAUUCACGAAUGAGAAGCUUUGUUUACUGGUUAUAUGUUUUGUUACAAUAUCAAUAGGUCUUGGGUUCAAGUAGUGGUUGAACAUUUUGUCCAAUCUUCAGAUUUCAUUUUGUAACCUUUACCUAGAAGCUCGACCAGCAGACUUAAUUCUGGAUCAU